UCAUCCUUUCACCUAUUUAUUUGAUGUGCAUGAGUCUUCAUACGCAUAUAAAGUUUUGAUGUAGUAGAUGUUGAGAAUUUCAAAAUAAUCUGCAAUAUAGACCUAAUUGAUUGAACUGUGAGCAGUGUUAUUUAUUGUAUUUGAUAUGGUAGUUAUUAAUGUUUCUUGAAAAGUAAUGGUAAAUCUGAAUCAUGUUGCUAAAAUAAACAAUUCCGUGCUGAGUUUAGUUAAUAGAAAUUUGGUUAUUUCCCUUAGGAUAAAAGUGUCUAGUGACUAGCUAUCAAGGUGUCAUGUGGAGUGCCUAGUUGACAUGGGUGAGAGAUUGUCCUGUUUUUAUAUAUAUUGGUUAAGGACAUUCUAAUUCAACGUUGUUAACAUUUUGCCAAGCACAUAUCUGGAGGAGUCUGCUUCAUUCUGCAUCGUUAAGCUUUAUUUUGAUAUUUUCAAUUGGAUGUGAUUAAUUUGUUCAAUUUGAGUAAAAUCGGAUUGAAUGGAAGUUGAUUGUAUGUAUGGUGUCAUAUAGUUUAGUAGUACAAGAUUAGAUAAGAUCGUGUUUUGUGAAUAAUCACAUUUUCAUCUCUAAGUUAAAAUUAAUGUAAACAAAAAAGAUAAUUAUAGGAAAUUUAAAUAUUUUAACUAUCUUCAUUACAAGUCAUUUAGGCGUAAGAUAAGACCGUACUAUGUGAAUAAUCUCAUAGUUGAGAUGUGGCCUUUGGGCAUAUGUUAAGACUCUCCCUGUGAGAUUAGUUAUCCCGAGAAUGUGAAACUAAAUGGUGGGUCCUGAUUCUACCCCUUCUAAACAUCAAACAUGGUUUUGGGACUUUGAUAAUAAAUAUCAUAGUUUAAUCUCAUGUCCUCGUCAUUGCUACAAGGAGUAUUUGGUACAUCGGAUAGAAUGGAAUUGGAUACAGGAUUGUAUUGAUCUCAUAAUUUUGGUCCAUUAAUAGUCUCUUAUUGUGGGAUAACCAAUUUCUGUAUGAUCUUUGGUUACCAAUGCUGACAAAGUUACAUGGUAUGACAUAAAUGGACAAGAUGCCUACUUUUUUUUUUUUUUCUAAAAAUUUAGGGGACCUUUUGACAUAUGACACAUGGCAAAGGAAAACUUAAUAUUGAAUGGUCAAGAUUUGUGUCAUUUAUAUGUUUCCUUUACUGUCAGUUGGGACUUGGAAGAAAUGGGAAGAAAUUGCAUUCUUUUUUAUUUUUUUGUAUUUUUCCCUUUGAUUAGAGUUGAUUUUAUACAUACGCAUUCUCUACAAUUCAGGAAACAUCAUAAUUACAAAAAUAUUACAAUUGAUUCUUUUCUGAAUUGACACUUUGCUUAUUUUUCCUCAUUAUCAACCAUUAAAACACCAUAAAAACACAGUUAAGAUGUACAGAAAAAUUAUGGAGAAGCAAACUGUGUCUUUAAAACGAAAAUUUCAAUAUUCCUUUCUCGUCACACAAAUCAGCUUUCAAAUCCAAUGGUCAAAAUAUUGCCCAAAAAAUGCCAAAAAGCAAUUGAGUUUGUGUUUUAUCCUUUUUAGUUUCAUAAGAGUGAACAGAAAGUUUUACAGCCGAAUAUUCAAUAAACUAAGAAUUAUUGUACUUCCGUUACUAAAGAGUCAACUUUCAUUGAGUUUGAUAACUUUUUGUUUUUGAUCGGUGAUGAACUCAUUAUUUUCAAAACCUUCAUCUAAUUCUUAAUCUCCAUACCCAUAAAUAUCAAGUCCUAGAGUGAAAAAGCCUGAGUAGUUGAGACAGACAGUACAUUAAGAAGCCAUAAUUCUAGAUUUCAAGUGCCACAAAAUCUUUGAGUUCAUCUUUGUAUUUGUUGUUAGUUAAUUUGGGUCACCAAAACAAAAUUGGGAGGAGACUCAUGUUCAAUCCAAGAGGCUUACAUUUGAAAUUGAGGAUGUCUGUGCCAUAGAAGAUAGCGACUUAUUAUUUAGAGGACCUAGUGGUUGGUUUGCAACUGAGGAUGCUUAUGAAGUGGAAGGCUGAGUGUGAUUGAGAAGAGAGAUUUGAGAAGGUACUUAAAGUUCUUGUUUAGUUAUCAGUAUUUCAUUUUGGACUGUAUAAAGGACGUAAGGUUAAAGUUGAUGAGUUGGCAGUCACAGAAUAUAUAGCUGAAAACAGAUGGAGAUAUGGUAUCUACAAUUAAUAAAUAAUUUGAAUCAAUGCCUUCUGACUUCUUGUGGCAUCCAUAUCUCCUUCUUUUUGUCUUGUAUAUCAGUAAUCAUGUGAAAGGAUUUUAUUUUGGUCUGGCAUUCAACUGUCCUUUGUGAUGUUGCAUGGACAUGUUCAGCUAUCUGAACUGGUAUUUUAUGAAACUUGUUAAACUAGUUUGAUAAAAUUAAAUUCAUAUAGAUUUACAGAAUUUGCUUCACCCAAAAAAUUUUAAAGGGUGAUACAUGUAGAUCUUUACACAAUUAGUUUUCUAAAUACUUGGAGUUUGGUUUUUCUUAUAACAGUCUUGACUGUAUUAUAUGUGUCCUGAUAUUGGCUCUUACAUGUUCAAAUCUUCUCUUAUAUCUAGUACAAGUGCAACAAAUCCAAACUUGCGAACAUUCUUAUUGUGAAAAUAAAAGUAAAUAAGAUGACUUUCGACCAUAAACCACCACACCCAUCUUUUUUAUCUAGACUUCCCAGAUCAAGCUCCCUUAACUGCAUCCGUUCCAUAACUUCUCUUUUUCUCUCUUUCCAUUUCCAUUUCCACUUCUCUUUUCCAUCAUUCAUCAUCUCUUCACUGUUUGCCGAUGCUUUUGUUGGUUGUCUCAUGAAAGUUAUUGCAUAAGAAAGAGGGCAGAGUGGAAGAAAAGAGAAAAAAUGAGUUUCGUUUUAGCCUUUCCAUGGAGUUUGGUACAGAAUAGGAAGCUUCACAAAGUAUAAAGGAACCAAUUAAUUGGAGAGGUAAAAGAAUAGUGAAUUUGAUACACUUAUGUGAAAGAAAUUAAUUGAAGAAAAGUGAGACUAAAGAUUGUAAGAGAGAAU